AAAGAUUUAGUCCUAACCUUACCGUUAGUUCUUGCCGGGUAUAUACAUGCAAGCAUCCGCGCCCCGGUGUAAAUGCCCACAGCCCCUUACCAAGGCACAAGGAGCGGGCAUCAGGCACGCCACCUGCCGCAGCCUAAGACGCCUUGUUCAGCCACACCCCCACGGGUAUUCAGCAGUAGUUAACAUUGAGCCAUGAGCGAAAGCUUGACUCAGCCACGGCAACACCAGGGUUGGUAAAUCUUGUGCCAGCCACCGCGGUCACACAAGAGACCCAAGCUAACUGUAUGCGGCGUAAAGAGUGGUGCCACGCUAUCACACCCACUAAGGCCAAAAUGCUACUGAGCUGUCAUAAGCCCAAGUCGCACAUAAGACCUCCGACCAAAAUGACCCUAGCGCCUAUGACCAACCAAACCCCACGAAAGCCAGGACACAAACUGGGAUUAGAUACCCCACUAUGCCUGGCCCUAAAUCUUAAUGUUUUCCGCACAUAAAACAUCCGCCCGAGGACUACGAGCACAAACGCUUAAAACUCUAAGGACUUGGCGGUGCCCCAAACCCACCUAGAGGAGCCUGUUCUAUAAUCGAUAACCCACGAUACACCCAACCUCCCCUUGCCCAAAGCAGCCUAUAUACCGCCGUCCCCAGCCCACCUCCCUUGAGAGCACAACAGUGGGCCCAACAGUCCCGACCCCGCUAGUAAGACAGGUCAAGGUAUAGCCCACGGGGAGGAAAGAAAUGGGCUACAUUUCCUAAGAUAGAAAACCCCACGAAAAGGGACAUGAAACUCCCCUGGAAGGCGGAUUUAGCAGUAAAGCGGGACAAUAGCGCCCCCUUUAAGCCGGCCCUGGGGCACGUACAUACCGCCCGUCACCCUCCUCAUGAGCCACUUCCCAACAUAAAUAAUACACACAUCAGCUGAAGAUGAGGUAAGUCGUAACAAGGUAAGUGUACCGGAAGGUGCACUUAGCACAC
rnacentral:ncRNA from 1 species